rnacentral:rRNA from 1 species
CCUACGGGAGGCUGCAGUGGGGAAUUUUGGACAAUGGGCGCAAGCCUGAUCCAGCCAUGCCGCGUGAGUGAAGAAGGCCUUCGGGUUGUAAAGCUCUUUCGGCCGGGAAGAAAUCGCACGCUCUAACAUAGCGUGUGGAUGACGGUACCGGACUAAGAAGCACCGGCUAACUACGUGCCAGCAGCCGCGGUAAUACGUAGGGUGCGAGCGUUAAUCGGAAUUACUGGGCGUAAAGCGUGCGCAGGCGGUUUUGUAAGACAGAUGUGAAAUCCCCG